rfam:Triticum aestivum genome assembly, contig: Triticum_aestivum_CS42_TGACv1_scaffold_193648_3AL
AAACUACUCCCUCCGUUGGGAAUUACUUGUCGCAGAAAUCGAUGCAUCUAGACGUAUUUUAGUUCUAGAUACAUCCAUUUCUGAGACGAGUAAUUCCGAACGGAGGGAGUAGGUU